rnacentral:lncRNA from 1 species
ACACGUUCUGCUUGUCUCCUUAAAAUGCUUUUCCCACUUAUUUCCCUGGCAAAUUCUAGGUCCUGCAUCCAAACUCAGCUCAGAUGCUGCCUCCUGCAGGAAGCCCUUCCGGGUUGCAUCCAGUCUUAAUUAAGUGGUCAUCCUGUGUGGUCCCAUGGUAUGCUGCACACAAUACUGCAGUGGGGACCAGACUGCUUUUCCAAGGAGCCACCCAGACCCUCAGAAAGCAGUACCUGUGGAAACACAAGUGAACGGGAUGAAGAAAGAUGCGAUCUUGUAUGAAAGUUUUCAAACAGCCGCCAAGAACAGCAACUCCUCUCGCAUCACAUCGGGCCUUGGCGCUCCAGGACUCAGUGACUCCAGGCAAUUUAAAACCAUAGUGGAAGUCACGAUGGUAUGGAAAUGCUGGCUGAGAAAGCAUCCCGGUACCUUUUCGUGUUGCCUGAAUCUCGCUCAAGAUAUCGGUUUCCGAUGGAAUGGGGAAAUCUGUGUAAACCAAAUAGAAUAUUAAAGCACACGAACAAGCAGCCUGAAAAAAAAGUACUAUAAAGUAAAUGAACAAAUAUAUAAAACCGAUAGCCAACUUCACCAGUAAAGAAAUGCAAAUUAAACCACAAGGAGAUUGAAAUGUUAAAAAUCUAUCGGAUUGGUAAAGACUAAAAAGGUUGAUAAUGCUCAGUAGGGUCUGGGAAUCCACCACACCAUGGGGUGAGGUGGGAAUGUUAACCGGUGCAACCAUUUUAUUUUAUUUUAUUAUUUAUUUAU